rnacentral:rRNA from 1 species
CGAGCGAGCUUGCCUAGAUGAUUUUAGUGCUUGCACUAAAUGAAACUAGAUACAAGCGAGCGGCGGACGGGUGAGUAACACGUGGGUAACCUGCCCAAGAGACUGGGAUAACACCUGGAAACAGAUGCUAAUACCGGAUAACAACACUAGACGCAUGUCUAGAGUUUGAAAGAUGGUUCUGCUAUCACUCUUGGAUGGACCUGCGGUGCAUUAGCUAGUUGGUAAGGUAACGGCUUACCAAGGCAAUGAUGCAUAGCCGAGUUGAGAGACUGAUCGGCCACAUUGGGACUGAGACACGGCCCAAACUCCUACGGGAGGCAGCAGUAGGGAAUCUUCCACAAUGGACGAAAGUCUGAUGGAGCAACGCCGCGUGAGUGAAGAAGGGUUUCGGCUCGUAAAGCUCUGUUGGUAGUGAAGAAAGAUAGAGGUAGUAACUGGCCUUUAUUUGACGGUAAUUACUUAGAAAGUCACGGCUAACUACGUGCCAGCAGCCGCGGUAAUACGUAGGUGGCAAGCGUUGUCCAGAUUUAUUGGGCGUAAAGCGAGUGCAGGCGGUUCAAUAAGUCUGAUGUGAAAGCCUUCGGCUCAACCGGAGAAUUGCAUCAGAAACUGUUGAACUUGAGUGCAGAAGAGGAGAGUGGAACUCCAUGUGUAGCGGUGGAAUGCGUAGAUAUAUGGAAGAACACCAGUGGCGAAGGCGGCUCUCUGGUCUGCAACUGACGCUGAGGCUCGAAAGCAUGGGUAGCGAACAGGAUUAGAUACCCUGGUAGUCCAUGCCGUAAAC